rnacentral:rRNA from 1 species
GGGUUGUGAGGUUAAGCGACUAAGCGUACACGGUGGAUGCCCUGGCAGUCAGAGGCGAUGAAGGGCGUGCUAAUCUGCGAUAAGCGCCGGUAAGGUGAUAUGAACCGUUAUAACCGGCGAUACCCGAAUGGGGAAACCCAGUGUGAUUCGUCACACUAUCAUUAACUGAAUCCAUAGGUUAAUGAGGCGAACCGGGGGAACUGAAACAUCUAAGUACCCCGAGGAAAAGAAAUCAACCGAGAUUCCCCCAGUAGCGGCGAGCGAACGGGGAGGAGCCCAGAGCCUGAAUCAGCAUGUGUGUUAGUGGAAGCGUCUGGAAAGGCGCGCGAUACAGGGUGACAGCCCCGUACACAAAAGCGCAUGUGCUGUGAGCUCGAUGAGUAGGGCGGGACACGUGGUAUCCUGUCUGAAUAUGGGGGGACCAUCCUCCAAGGCUAAAUACUCCUGACUGACCGAUAGUGAACCAGUACCGUGAGGGAAAGGCGAAAAGAACCCCGGCGAGGGGAGUGAAAAAGAACCUGAAACCGUGUACGUACAAGCAGUGGGAGCACCCUUUGGGUGUGACUGCGUACCUUUUGUAUAAUGGGUCAGCGACUUAUAUUCUGUAGCAAGGUUAACCGAAUAGGGGAGCCGGAGGGAAACCGAGUCUUAACCGGGCGUUAAGUUGCAGGGUAUAGACCCGAAACCCGGUGAUCUAGCCAUGGGCAGGUUGAAGGUUGGGUAACACUAACUGGAGGACCGAACCGACUAAUGUUGAAAAAUUAGCGGAUGACCUGUGGCUGGGGGUGAAAGGCCAAUCAAACCGGGAGAUAGCUGGUUCUCCCCGAAAGCUAUUUAGGUAGCGCCUCGUGAAUUCAUCUCCGGGGGUAGAGCACUGUUUCGGCUAGGGGGCCAUCCCGGCUUACCAACCCGAUGCAAACUGCGAAUACCGGAGAAUGUUAUCACGGGAGACACACGGCGGGUGCUAACGUCCGUCGUGAAGAGGGAAACAACCCAGACCGCCAGCUAAGGUCCCAAAGUCAUGGUUAAGUGGGAAACGAUGUGGGAAGGCCCAGACAGCCAGGAUGUUGGCUUAGAAGCAGCCAUCAUUUAAAGAAAGCGUAAUAGCUCACUGGUCGAGUCGGCCUGCGCGGAAGAUGUAACGGGGCUAAACCAUGCACCGAAGCUGCGGCAGCGACGCUUAUGCGUUGUUGGGUAGGGGAGCGUUCUGUAAGCCUGCGAAGGUGGCCUGUGAGGGUUGCUGGAGGUAUCAGAAGUGCGAAUGCUGACAUAAGUAACGAUAAAGCGGGUGAAAAGCCCGCUCGCCGGAAGACCAAGGGUUCCUGUCCAACGUUAAUCGGGGCAGGGUGAGUCGACCCCUAAGGCGAGGCCGAAAGGCGUAGUCGAUGGGAAACGGGUUAAUAUUCCCGUACUUGGUGUUACUGCGAAGGGGGGACGGAGAAGGCUAUGUUGGCCGGGCGACGGUUGUCCCGGUUUAAGCGUGUAGGUGUGUGUUCCAGGUAAAUCCGGUUCACUUUAACACUGAGGCGUGACGACGAGGCACUACGGUGCUGAAGCAACAAAUGCCCUGCUUCCAGGAAAAGCCUCUAAGCAUCAGGUAACAUCAAAUCGUACCCCAAACCGACACAGGUGGUCAGGUAGAGAAUACCAAGGCGCUUGAGAGAACUCGGGUGAAGGAACUAGGCAAAAUGGUGCCGUAACUUCGGGAGAAGGCACGCUGACACGUAGGUGAAGUGAUUUACUCAUGGAGCUGAAGUCAGUCGAAGAUACCAGCUGGCUGCAACUGUUUAUUAAAAACACAGCACUGUGCAAACACGAAAGUGGACGUAUACGGUGUGACGCCUGCCCGGUGCCGGAAGGUUAAUUGAUGGGGUCAGCGCAAGCGAAGCUCCUGAUCGAAGCCCCGGUAAACGGCGGCCGUAACUAUAACGGUCCUAAGGUAGCGAAAUUCCUUGUCGGGUAAGUUCCGACCUGCACGAAUGGCGUAAUGAUGGCCAGGCUGUCUCCACCCGAGACUCAGUGAAAUUGAACUCGCUGUGAAGAUGCAGUGUACCCGCGGCAAGACGGAAAGACCCCGUGAACCUUUACUAUAGCUUGACACUGAACAUUGAGCCUUGAUGUGUAGGAUAGGUGGGAGGCUUUGAAGUGUGGACGCCAGUCUGCAUGGAGCCGACCUUGAAAUACCACCCUUUAAUGUUUGAUGUUCUAACGUGGACCCGUUACCCGGGUUGCGGACAGUGUCUGGUGGGUAGUUUGACUGGGGCGGUCUCCUCCUAAAGAGUAACGGAGGAGCACGAAGGUUGGCUAAUCCUGGUCGGACAUCAGGAGGUUAGUGCAAUGGCAUAAGCCAGCUUGACUGCGAGCGUGACGGCGCGAGCAGGUGCGAAAGCAGGUCAUAGUGAUCCGGUGGUUCUGAAUGGAAGGGCCAUCGCUCAACGGAUAAAAGGUACUCCGGGGAUAACAGGCUGAUACCGCCCAAGAGUUCAUAUCGACGGCGGUGUUUGGCACCUCGAUGUCGGCUCAUCACAUCCUGGGGCUGAAGUAGGUCCCAAGGGUAUGGCUGUUCGCCAUUUAAAGUGGUACGCGAGCUGGGUUUAGAACGUCGUGAGACAGUUCGGUCCCUAUCUGCCGUGGGCGCUGGAGAACUGAGGGGGGCUGCUCCUAGUACGAGAGGACCGGAGUGGACGCAUCACUGGUGUUCGGGUUGUCAUGCCAAUGGCACUGCCCGGUAGCUAAAUGCGGAAGAGAUAAGUGCUGAAAGCAUCUAAGCACGAAACUUGCCCCGAGAUGAGUUCUCCCUGAGACUUAGAGUCUCCUGAAGGAACGUUGAAGACGACGACGUUGAUAGGCCGGGUGUGUAAGCGCAGCGAUGCGUUGAGCUAACCGGUACUAAUGAACCGUGAGGCUUAACCUUA